rnacentral:rRNA from 1 species
AUACGAACCGUCCCAACGUUAUUCGGAAUCACUGGGCUUACAGGGUGCGUAGGCUGUUGUUUAAGUCGGAUGUGGAAUCCCUCGGCUCAACCGAGGAACUGCAUUCGAUACUGUAUGACUUGAGGAAGAUAGGGGUGAGCGGAACUGAGAGUGGAGCGGUGAAAUGCGUUGAUAUUCUCAGGAACACCGGUGGCGAAAGCGGCUCACUGGAUCUUUUCUGACGCUGAGGCACGAAAGCUAGGGUAGC